rnacentral:lncRNA from 1 species
GAACAAGCCUUUAUAUAGCAGGCGAAGUAGCUCAAGAGACAAACUCGAAAAUGACAGAAAAAUUAAUAAAGUCUUGACCGAAAUAAAUGAACUAAAGACUGACUCUUCGGCUGGCCUUUGACUGACUCUUGAGUUGCCAAGCCGAAAAUGACUCUUGCUAUUCCGACCCAUGAACCAGACCGUAAACCAAUCCUAGGUCGAGAGAUGGGCAAUGGACUUAACCUCGUUAAAACCCCACCCGGUAAACCCAUUGGGACAAACCCGGGUGUAAGGAAAAAGAGUAUUAAACCAUCACCCGGACCAGAUUAGUUACAGCCGGCGUUCAUGAGCACGGUCACGAUCUUGGGUGAUGCUGGGUCGCCUGAUCCAAUCUUGAUCCCAUUAAGUACAGCCUGGACCGUUCCUGCCAGCUUCUUAGCUCUGGAUCGCGUCAUAGGUCCAUUCGGUACGGACAAAUGUGCUUCCGGAACCUCGAUUCCACUGUUUGGGUCAUCCUUUGGGUCCAUGAUCGUAUCAUCCUCCCCCUCUUGAAAAGGACUUGUCCUCAAGUCUGGUCCAUCUGCGACAAAGGGAAUGAGGUCAGAAAUGUUGAAGCUGGUACUGACUAAGUACUUACCUUGUAAAUCAAGCUUGUAGGCGUUGUCAUUGAUCCGCUCAAGGACCGUAAAGGGACCAUCCACUCGAGGCAAUAAUUUGGACUUUCUUUCCUCCGGAAACCUGUCCUUCCUCAAAUAAACCCAUACUAGAUCGCCUGGUUCAAACACCUUUUGGCGCCGGCCCUUGUUAGCGUGCUUCUUGUAUAGCUCGGUCUUACUUUCAAUGUUCUGCUUGGCCUUCUCAUGAAUCUGCUUGACAAGCUCGGCCUUUUUCUUUCCAUCCAUACUUACACGCUCAGACAAAGGUAAAGGCGUAAGAUCAAGAGGAGUAAGUGGAUUAAAACCAUAAACCAUUUGAAACGGGGAAAACAAUGUAGUAGAAUGAACUGCAUGGUUAUAAGCAAACUCUACAUGUGGUAGACAAUCUUCCCACGUCCUAAGGUUCUUUUUAAUAACAGAACGAAGCAGUGCGGACAAGGUUCUAUUAACGACCUCGGUUUGACCGUCGGUCUGUGGGUGGCAAGUGGUGGAAAAGCAUAACUUAGUACCUAGUUUUGACCAAAGCGUUUUCCAAAAAUAACUAAGGAAUUUAACAUCGCGGUCAGAAACUAUAGUCCUAGGCAUUCCGUGCAAUCUAACCACUUCUCUAAAGAACAAAUUAGCCACAUUAGAUGCAUCAUCAGUCUUAUGACAAGGUAUAAAGUGCGCCAUUUUUGAGAACCUAUCGACCACAACAAAGACAGAAUCACGACCCGUCCUAGUUCUUGGCAAUCCUAACACGAAAUCCAUAGAAAUGUCCGUCCAAGGAGAGCUAGGAAUGGGUAACGGAGUGUACAUACCUGGGGACUGGCUUUUGGAUUUAGCAUACUUACAGGUGAUGCAUCGGCCGCAAAUUCUUUCCACAUCUCUUUUCAUGUGCGGCCAGAAGAAAUGAUCCUGGACCACACUAAGAGUCUUGGUCACUCCAAAGUGUCCCAUCAAACCGCCGCCAUGAGCUUCCCUAACAAGCAGAUCACGAAGGGAAACAUUAGGUAUACAAAGGCGGUUUUCAUAAAACAAGAAGUCAUCACUCCGAAAAUAUUUUCCAGUGGCAAAUUUAGAACAGGAUUGAUAAACUUCCUGGAAAUCUGGAUCGGAGGUGUAGGCUUCUUUAAUCAUUUCAAAACCGAGGACCUUGGCGUCUAAGGUCGAGAUCAGGGUGUAUCUUCGGGACAAGGCGUCGGCCACAACGUUUUCCUUUCCCUGUUUGUACUGGAUCACGUACGGAAACGUUUCAAUAAACUCCACCCAUCUGGCAUGCCUCUUAUUCAAUUUCUGCUGGCCCUUGAGGUGUUUAAGAGAUUGAUGAUCCGUAUGAAUCACAAACUCCUUUGGCCAGAGGUAAUGUUGCCAAGUUUGGAGCGCACGGACCAAGGCAUAAAGCUCCUUGUCGUAGGUGGGAUAGUUCAAGGUCGCGCCACCAAGCUUCUCACUGAAGUAGGCAAUAGGUCGUUUCUCCUGCAUUAGGACCGCACCAAUACCUACACCGGAGGCAUCGCACUCAAUUUCAAAGGUUUUCAUAAAAUCAGGCAAAGAAAGGAGAGGUGCAUGAGUUAGCCUGUUUUUAAGGAGUUGGAACGCCUCUUCUUGUGCCGUGCCCCAUUUAAAGCCAACGUCCUUUUUGAUUACUUCGGUGAGAGGCGCUGCUAUGGUACUGAAGUCUUUUACAAACCGUCGGUAGAAACCGGCCAGGCCGUGGAAGCUUCGGACCUCUCCAACCGUCUUGGGACUGGGCCAGUCUUUGAUUGCCUUGAUCUUCUCUUUGUCGACCUGGAUCCCAUUGGCACCUACAACAAAGCCUAGGAACACAACACUAUCCGCGCAAAAAGUGCACUUUUUCAAGUUCCCAAAUAAUUGUUCCUUCCUAAGCACUUCUAAGACUAACCGCAAAUGCUCUAAGUGCUCGACCAAAUUCUUGCUGUAGACUAAGAUGUCAUCAAAGUACACAACGACAAAAACACCUAUGAACGACCGCAAGACAUGGUUCAUAAGUCUCAUGAAAGUGCUAGGGGCGUUGGUUAAGCCAAACGGCAUUACCAACCAUUCAUACAGUCCAUGCUUAGUCUUAAAGGCUGUUUUCCAUUCGUCCCCCUCUUUCAUCCGUAUUUGGUGAUAGCCACUUUUCAAAUCUAUCUUAGAAAAAAGACAAGAUCCGUGAAGUUCAUCAAGCAUAUCAUCCAAACGAGGAAUGGGGUGUCUGUAUUUUACCGUAAUAUUGUUGAUUGCACGACAGUCAACGCACAUACGCCAAGUGCCAUCCUUCUUUGGCACUAGUAAGACCGGGACCGCGCAAGGACUCAUACUCUCUCGUAUAUGUCCUUUCUUCAUCAGCUCUCCGACCUGCCGCUGUAGUUCCUUUGUUUCAACAGGGUUGGUUCGAUAAGCGGGUCGGUUUGGCAAGGACGCACCAGGAACAAAAUCGAUCUGAUGUUCUAUUCCGCGGAUGGGAGGUAAUCCACUUGGGCUUUCUUCUGGAAAGACGUCCUUGUAUUCCUGCAAAAGAGGCAAAACACUGCUCGGAAGAUCCGGCUCACGGUCAGUAAGACUAACCAAAGCAUUUCUAAAUAUUAACAAGACAAAGGAUUGUCUCGUAAGCACGGCGUGCUUAAGUUCACUUGGCCUUACGAAAAGAGUUUCUUUCCUCACGGGUAAACUUUCUAAGGCCGUUUCUGGGGUUUUUCUCAGACUCUCAGAUUUAGUGGAAGUGUUUAGAGGGUCACUCACAAUGCUUUUUCCUUUGUGACUUUGCUCGAGUUUGAUCUGGUCUAGAUAGACUUCUUGCGGAGACAAAGGCGCUAGGGUGAUCUUGCGGCCUUGGUGCUCGAACAUGUGCUUGUUGGAGAAGCCAUCGUGAAUGGCCUUGCGAUCAUACUGCCAAGGUCGGCCCAAAAGAAUAUGACCGGCUUCCAUCGGCAACACAUCACACAUGAUCUCAUCCUCGUACCGUCCGAUAGAUAAUGGAACCGAGACCUGCUUGGUGACCUUUAGCUGCCUUUGGUUGUUUAGCCACCUGAGACUAUAAGGCUGCGGGUGCUUGUGCGUCUCCAGGCCAAGUUUUUCCACCAUUGUAGUGCUUGCCACGUUCGUACAGCUGCCUCCAUCGAUGAUCAGGCUGCAGACCUUACCCUUUACCAGGCACCGGGUAUGAAAUAGGUUCUCGCGCUGAUCUUCUUCUUUUACGGGUUCCUGAGCUAGUAGGACUCUCCGGGCAACGAGCAAUUCACCUUCUGCUGCUCGUUCCUCAUCUCCCUCAUCAUCAUAAAUCGGUCCAGUAUCCUCUCCGUCGGACACGAUUUCACCUGAGUCAAGAAGCAACAUGGUUUGUUGGUUCGGACAUUUAUUAGCAUAAUGACCUUUACCCCGACACUUAAAACAUUCAAUGUCGCGGUGUCUAGCCGGUGUAGCCUCGGCUUUUCCUUUGAAGUCGGGUGCAGAAGAGCUGGGUUUGGAAUCCGUCCUGGGCUUAGCGUCGGAUCGAGAUGGGUAGCUCGGCUUAUCUGUAGGUCGCGAACUGGAACCAUAGGCGGGUCGGUUUGCCUUUGCGUUUCAGCUGUUGUUCCACUAAGACCGCCUUGUGGUACUUCUCUCCAAUGUCCCGAUAGUCCUGCAGCUCCAUACGGUCUUGUAUAUCACGGUUGAGGCCACUCAAGAACCGGGCCAUGGUCGCAUCCUCCGGUUCUACCGUAUCAGCUUUCAGCAUUAGCCGAUCCAUUUCUUGGUAAUACUCCUCAACAUUCUUGGAUCCCUGGGUCAAACGUCUGAGUCGAGUGUGCAACUCCCGAUGGUAGUGGCUCGGUACGAAUCUGCGUCUCAUCAUCCGUGCCAUCUCGUCCCAAGUUUCGACCGGUCGGUCGCCGUUCCUUCUUCGGUUGGUAACAACUUGGUCCCACCAGUCUACCACGUACCCAUGGAACUCGGUGGCAGCCAGGUUGAUCUUCUUUCUUUCUGAGAAGUUCUGACAACCAAACAAAAUGUCGAUCUUCUUUUCCCACUCAAGGAACGCAUCUGGAUCGGUUGUACCAUAAAAAGAUGGAACCCUCAGCUUCAUGCCUCCAAGGUCAUUGUCGUUUCGGGCUUGGACUGGUUCAGGUUCGUAUUGUUCCCGCCCUUGAUUGUUACGGUCUUGUCGAACCUCCUCCCGGUUAUGGCCGCGGUUUGGAUCUGGGUUGUAUCUCUCACGACCGUGGUUCGGUACAGGGUUUUGACCACGUCUAUCUUCUCGGCCGCGUCUGGGUCGUACCCGACUACCACCCGAGGUAUGACCGUCAGCGUAGAAUGGGUUGUCUCCGACAUACUCAUUUCGGUUAUGAUUUCUCUCCCUCCGGGUUGGGUCCUCCUGGUCACUGCGAUCAGCUCCUCUGUCCCGUCUAGGCUGAUCCACUUCCAAUCGUUCCAUACGCUGGUUCAUGUGAUCCAGCAACUGAAUAAUCUGGUCCAGCCUAUGGUUCAUAGUGACUUUUCUUACUUCCUUUGACCGAAUAGAGGAUGGAUCUUCGCUAGAAGACAUAUAGUACCUCGCAAAACAAACAGACAAGUUAGUAAAAAAAAAUUCUCACUAAGUGUUUCACUCGGUGUUUCACUCAACCCUCUUAAUGAUCUCACAAACACUCAAGAGAAUCUCCUCGGUUCUAAGAGAACUAAAUCAAGACUCGAUGUAGAACUCUAAACCAAUUCAGAAUAUCAAGCGAUUAUGAAGAAAAGAGAAGAUAGAGAGAAAAGAUUUUUGAUUUCCACAGAUCCCUCUUUUUUAUUUUUUUUUAAACUUUGGUUCUUCUUUUUUUUUUUUUUUUUUUUUUUUUUAAAUAGAUCAGGAAUUACAAAAGAAAGAAAGGAUAAAACGGAAUUUGAAAAGACAAAAAGAUAGAUAAUACCGCUUUCUUCAAGUGCGUGGCUCUGAUACCACUUGAUACGAAUUCCCAAAGAACGGCACACACUUGGUCGGUAUCGGAUGGAUAGAUCCUUGACUCCAAACGGAUUCACGGAGAAGAUGCUAAGGGGUGGGUUGGAACCCGAAGAUCCUUAGGCCCAAACUCGCGGUGAAAGGCUUGAAACAAGGGGGUGACUAAGCUGGCUGAUUGGAUCCGCGGAAAAAGGAUGUUAAGGCGUGAGAACUAGGUUCCCGAAAAUCCCUAAGCCCCUUUAACUACUUGAACGUCCCAACGAGACAACUGGGUGAAGGCUGCGUCAAGUUCUAUGGAUUGAACUUGAUAAACCGAAAAGAUUCAAGAGGCUAACCACCUAAGGAAUCGAAAAAGUUCUAAAAGAACAAAGGAGAAAACUCAGAUUUUAUUUGAUAAGUGAAUUGCUGAAAAUGAGAAGGGGAACAAGCCUUUAUAUAGCAGGCGAAGUAGCUCAAGAGACAAACUCGAAAAUGACAGAAAAAUUAAUAAAGUCUUGACCGAAAUAAAUGAACUAAAGACUGACUCUUCGGCUGGCCUUUGACUGACUCUUGAGUUGCCAAGCCGAAAAUGACUCUUGCUAUUCCGACCCAUGAACCAGACCGUAAACCAAUCCUAGGUCGAGAGAUGGGCAAUGGACUUAACCUCGUUAAAACCCCACCCGGUCAAACCCGGGUGUAAGGAAAAAGAGUAUUAAACCAUCACCCGGACCAGAUUAGUUACAGCCGGCGUUCAUGAGCACGGUCACGAUCUUGGGUGAUGCUGGGUCGCCUGGUCCAAUCUUGAUCCCAUUAAGUACAGCCUGGACCGUUCCUGCCAGCUUCUUAGCUCUGGAUCGCGUCAUAGGUCCAUUCGGUACGGACAAAUGUGCUUCCGGAACCUCGAUUCCACUGUUUGGGUCAUCCUUUGGGUCCAUGAAC